GACGAACGCUGGCGGCGUGCUUAACACAUGCAAGUCGAACGGAAAGGCCCUGCUUUUGUGGGGUGCUCGAGUGGCGAACGGGUGAGUAACACGUGAGUAACCUGCCCUUGACUUUGGGAUAACUUCAGGAAACUGAGGCUAAUACCGGAUAGGAGCUCCUACUGCAUGGUGGGGGUUGGAAAGUUUCGGCGGUUGGGGAUGGACUCGCGGCUUAUCAGCUUGUUGGUGGGGUAGUGGCUUACCAAGGCUUUGACGGGUAGCCGGCCUGAGAGGGUGACCGGCCACAUUGGGACUGAGAUACGGCCCAGACUCCUACGGGAGGCAGCAGUGGGGAAUAUUGCACAAUGGGCGGAAGCCUGAUGCAGCAACGCCGCGUGCGGGAUGACGGCCUUCGGGUUGUAAACCGCUUUCGCCUGUGACGAAGCGUGAGUGACGGUAAUGGGUAAAGAAGCACCGGCUAACUACGUG
rnacentral:rRNA from 1 species